CCUGUCCAACCUGGCUUUGGACACUUCCAGGGAUGGGGCAGCCACAGCUUCUCUGGGCAACCUGUGCCAGGGCCUCCCCACCCUCACAGAGAAGGAUUUCUUCCCAAUAUCUCAUCUAAACUUCCCCCCUUUCAGUUUAAAGCCAUUUCGCCUUGUCCUGUCACUGGAUGCUCUUGUGAGGAUUGGCAAAUUGUAGUAUUAUCUAUUCCAAUAAUCCUGAGUGCUUGGAGAUUUGCUCUCCUUUGAUCUCAUUAGAGGUCAGAGAUCAGAGAUGAGUUGCUUGAUGUUGUUUCCACAUUUAACUCUCCAGAGAAUCAGCAAAAGGUGGAGCACAAUUCCUUUUAAGAGCAGUUAAAAUGAUGUUAGUUUUAACUGCAUCAGGGGAAGGUCCUUCCUUAUUUUUACAAGGACAAGUAGAAGUGGCAGCUCUGUUCCUGAAUUCUAUUUUUACUCCUUCCUGGCCUUAGAGAUAUUCUUGAUUGCUGCCUGUGAAAGGGCAUCUCAAGCUGUGCAGGGUUUGGGAUUGUGUAGCUAUCAAGAACUGUACCUGGGAGUGGAGGAGAUGAGGGAAACAGGCACUUACUUUGUUUCCAAAACAUGGGCAGGGUUAUAGAUGGAGUUGGGUGUGGAUUUAGCAUAGGGAGAAAGUUACACCUGGAGUAAAUUAAAGCAGAAGAUGCAAUCAGGAAUCUUCUGAAAUGUGGCUUUGUAAUCAUGCUUGCUUUUUGGGGGGAGAAACACAAAAUCAACUCAAUCCUUUACCAAAAAAAACCCAAACUGAGGAUGUUUUUCCUUCUCACAGUUCCUCUCGAGAGCAGGGUUGAGUUCUGGAAUGAUCUUCAAAUGUCAAAGGUCAUAGCUUGAGUUUCAGAAUUCCUGACAAAAGUGGCAACAGCAAAAGAAGUGAUUGGCAGUGUCUGCAUGUGAAGAUUCAUGGAUUCCUCAAAAGCUGAUCAUCUGUGUUUUCUCUACAUGGCUAAGAAGGAUUUUUAAAAAAAGGACUAAAUAAAGAUACCACCUACCAUAAGUCUGAAUGGGGC
rnacentral:lncRNA from 1 species